rnacentral:rRNA from 1 species
AUUGAACGCUGGCGGCAGGCUUAACACAUGCAAGUCGAGCGAGCGGCGGACGGGUGAGUAAUGUAUGGGAAACUGCCUGAUGGAGGGGUAAAACUAAUGGAAACCGUAGCUAAUACCGCAUACCCUCAGAUGUGCCCAGAUGGGAUUAGCUAGUAGGUGGGGUAAUGGCUAACGUAGGAGAAGAUCACUAGCUGGUCUGAGAGGAUGACCCGCCACACUGGAAAUGAGACACGGUCCAGACUCCUACGGGAGGCAGAAGAAGGGAAUAUUGCACAAUGGGCGCAAGUCUGAUGCAGCCAAGCCGCGUGUGUGAUGAAGGCCUUCGGGUUGUAAAGCACUUUCAGCCAGGAGGCGUUACUCGCAGAAGAAGCACCGGCUAACUCCGGGCCAACAGCCGCGGUAAAUC